rnacentral:rRNA from 1 species
UGGAUUAGGCAUGCAAGUCGAGCGCUCAUAGCAAUAUGGGAGCGGCGAACGGCGUAGUAAGACGUAGGAACGUACCCUCGGGACGGGGAUAGCUAUGGGAAACUGUAGGUAAUACCCGAUAAUCUCUGCGGAGCAAAGGUGUGAUUCCGCCUGAGGAGCGGCUUAUGCGAUAUUAGCUAGUUGGUGGGGUAAUGGCCUACCAAGGCGAUGAUGUCUAGGGGGUGUGAGAGCAUGGCCCCCACGACCGGAACUGAGAUACUGUCCGGACACCUACGGGUGGCUGCAGUCGAGAAUCUUCCGCAAUGGACGAAGGUCUGACGGAGCGACGCCGCGUGCGGGAUGAAGGCCCUUGGGUUGUAAACCGCUGUCAGAGGGGAUGAAAUCUUCGGAGGUACUCCUCCGGAGUUGACAGAGCCUCAAAGGAAGCACGGGCUAAGUACGUGCCAGCAGCCGCGGUA